AGGUGACAUUCUUAAGGGACCUGCUGUGUGCUCCAGCCUUGAGACCCUUUUUUUUUUUAUUGGUUGCUCAAAACAUUACAAAGCUCUUGACAUAUCAUAUUUCAUACAUUUGAUUCAGGUGGGUUUUGAACUCCCAAUUUUACCCCAAAUACAGAUUGCAGAAUCAAGUCGGUUACACAUCUACAUUUUUACAUAAUGCCCUAUUAGUAACUGUUGUAUUCUGCUACCUUGCCUAUCCUCUACUAUCUCCUCCUUGACUUCCAGGAGCCACACAAGAAACAAAGCUACCACAGGUCCCUAAAGCAUGAGGAAGCCUAGGAAUACCCCCCUCCCCACAUCUGAACAACUGUCUAUCUGCUAAGGAACAUCUGGGCCCUGUUCCUUCAAAGCUGGUAUAGGAUUGAAGAGGUGAUCAGAGAUGUCUCCUACUAGCAUAGGCAGAAAGACAGAAUGACUUCCUAGCAAUGAUGGAACACCAGUAGUCAAAUAGCACCAGCCCCAGCUCUAGGCAAAGUGCACUGAAGAUUGCAUAGUAAACCUUGUGACACUGCUUCUGAGCAGCCUCAGUGGCACAGCACCUGCCACAGCAUAGUUCUCACCUCAGCAGCUCUCCUCAGAUGAUCAACUUGGGGGAAAUGGUUGCCUCCUACACAUGGGUCAUGUGGUCCCAAUGUAGAGCUCCUUGGCAGUUCUAGAAGCAUGCUUCACACAUCCACCCCGACCAGGUAGCUCCUCUAGGCCAAGCCAGGUUGGACUUUGCCCUGCACUAUCAGGUCUGAUCUUUGAGUCCAUGUGAGGAAGGAAUGUGGUGACUUGCUAAGAGGCCCUCUCAUUCAUACCCUAGCACAAUCUGCUUCCUUUAUUAACAUGUUCUCCAAAUUUUACUGCCCCCUACCCUCCCAUUAAGUAUGCUGUGCCAUUUUCUUAACCUAACAUCCCUCAGGGCAAUAUGAGAUUGAUGUCCACACCACACCUAUGCAAAGUCUUCUGUAUGGCAGCCUCUACUUGUUUCUUUUUUUUUUUUUUUUUGGUAACUUCAACCAGGUUGAUUCUUCUUUUUUUUUUUUAAUUUUUUUUAUUGGUUGUUCAAAACAUUAUAAAGCUCUUGACAUAUCAUAUUUCAUACAUUAGAUUCAAGUUGGUUAUGAACUCCCAAUUUUACCCCAAAUACAGAUUGCAGAAUCACAUCGGUUACACAUCCACAUUUUUACAUAAUGCCCUAUUAGUAACUGUUGUAUUCUGCUACCUUUCCUAUCCUCUACCAUCCCCCCUCCCUCCCCUCCCAUCUUCUCUCUCUACCCCAUCCACUGUAAUUCAUAUCUCUCCUUGUUUAUUUUCCCAUUCCCCUCACAACCUCUUAUAUGUAAUUUUGUAUAACAAUGAGGGUCUCCCUCCAUUACCAUGCAAUUUCCCUUUUCUCUCCCUUUCCCUCCUACGUCAUGUAUCUGUUUAAUGUUAAUCUUUUCUUCCUGCUCUUCCUCCCUGCUCUGUUCUUAGUUGCUCUCAUUAUAUCAAAGAAGACAUUUGGUAUUUGUUUUUUAGGGAUUGGCUAGCUUCACUAAGCAUAAUCUGCUCUAGUGCCAUCCAUUUCCCUGCAAAUUCCAUGAUUUUGUCAUUUUUAGUGCUGCGUAAUACUCCAU
rnacentral:lncRNA from 1 species